UAAUUGGUGUAUGUGUAUCAAGCAUGCAUUCACACUUUUGCUGAAUUUAAAAUCAAACAAUCACCACACAAGGAAAUUUAAAUAAGAAAGGUUUAGAUGUUACCAAAGGGAAUUUCCCCAGCAAAAAUUUUUUACUCUUAAAGCAAACCUCUACAGCAUUCUUUUUCCAGUAGUUCCCUUUUGAUCGUCCCAAAUUUUCUCUUUGAUUCCUGAUCAAAUAAAAAUCAAAAAUUAGUAAAGGAGAGAAAGGAGAUAAGAGAAAUAACAAAAAAAAUAGAAAAUAUUUUUAUUUUAUUUUA
rnacentral:lncRNA from 1 species